CCGACGGUGAGGGGCGAAGGCUGGGGGCGCAAACCGGAUUAGAUACCCGGGUAGUCCCAGCAGUAAACGAUGCCAGCUAUGUGUUGCUGGAACCAUGGGUUCCAGCAGUGCCGAAGGGAAGCCGUGAAGCUGGCCACCUGGGAAGUACGGUCGCAAGGCUGAAACUUAAAGGAAUUGGCGGGGGAGUACCACAACCGGUGGAGCCUGCGGUUUAAUUGGAUACAACGCCGGGAAUCUUACCGGAGGGGACAGCAGUAUGAAGGCCAGGCUAAAGACCUUGCCAGAUCAGCUGAGAGGAGGUGCAUGGCCGUCGCCAGUUCGUACCGUGAGGCAUCCUGUUUAGUCAGGCAACGAUCGAGACCCGCAGUCUUAUUUGCCAGCAUGCCCUUUGGGGUGUAUGGGUACAAUAAGACGACCGCCAGCGCUAAGCUGGAGGAAGGAGCGGGCUACGGUAGGUCAGCAUGCCCCGAAUCCUCCGGGAUACACGCGGGCUACAAUGGUCAGGACAAAAGGUACCGACCUCGAAAGAGUGAGGUAAUCCACAAACCUGAUCUCAGUCCGGAUCGAAGGCUGCAACUCGCCUUCGUGAAGAUGGAAUCGGUAGUAAUCGUGACUC
rnacentral:rRNA from 1 species